rnacentral:lncRNA from 1 species
AGCUCUUUUCCACUAGGAAAAAGAAAAAAAGCUGUGGCCUUGGAGAUGCUGGAGAUAAUGACCAUGGGGUGGGCAGGGAAGGCCUCCUGCUUCAGCUGACAAGGUUUUUGCAGCUUGUCUUGAUGUACAUUUUCUUACUUCACCCUUAUGACCACCCUUUAAAAAGUAAGUAAUUUGGGAGGCUGAGAUGGGAGGAUCACUUGACCCCAGGAGUUCAAGACCAGCCAGGGCAACAUACUGAGACCCUGUCUCUACAAAAGAAAUUAUUAUUAUUAUUUUUUUUUUGAGACAGAGUCUCACUCUGUCACCCAGGCGGGAGUGC